UAAUACAUAAGGGAAAGAGAUACAUAGUUGGCUUACAAUCGCCACUUCACACAAUUACAUGAAUAAAGCAUUACAUCAUCCAGAUACAAUCAAGGUCCGACUACGGAACCAAAAUGAAAGAAGAACCCCAAAUGCGACAAAGGUCCCCAAUCGACCCCAACUGGGCUCCACUACUGAUCAACUAGAACGAAACAACACAAAGGGCAAGAUCUUCAUCGAGCUCCUCCUUGAGCUUGAAUGCGUCACCUGCUCGGUAACAUAGGCACCUGCAAACUGGUUUUUGGAAGUAACUGGUGAGCCACGAGGACUCAACAAUCCCAUUACCAUGGGUAUCAAGACUAGCAAAGCUUAAUGGGAAAGGAAGGGGUAAAGUGGUGAGGUUGUAGCAGCGACUAAGCAUGAUAUGGUGGCUAACCAACGCAAAUAAGAGCGAGAAGAGAACAAGCGGAACGGCCGUGAAGCUAGCAAUGAUCAAGAGGUGAUCCUGAACACCUACUUACGUCAAACAUAACACAGAAACCGUGUUCACUUCCCGGACUCCGCCAAGAAGAGACCAUCACGGCUACACACUCGGUUGAUGCGUUUUAAUACGGAUCAAGUGUCAAGUUAUCUACAACCGGACAUUAACAAAUUCCCAUCUGCCACAUAACCGCGGGCGCGGCUCUCGAAAGUUUAUACCCUGCAGGGGUGUCCCAACUUAGCCCAUGACAAGCUCUCGCGAUCAUCGAAGGAAUAGACCUUCACCCGAGACACUCCGAUCAGACUCGGUAUCCCGGUACAUCAAGACAUUUCGACAAUGGUAAAACAAGACCAGCAAAGCCGCUUGAUGCACCGACAAUCCCGAUAGGAGCUGCACAUAUCUCGUUCUCAGGGCAACACCGGAUAGGUCAGCCUACGAGUAAAACCAGCCCUCGAGUUGCCCCGAGGUGGCCCCGCAGUCUGCCCGGUUCGGACCAACACUUAGACAAGCACUGGCCCGGGGGGGGGGGGCUAAAUAAAGAUGACCCUUGGGUUAAUUACUCCCAAGGGAAAAGUAGGUGGUGGUGAGGCAAAUGGUAAAAGGCAAUGUUGGGCCUUGCUGGACAAGUUUUAUUCAAAGCGAACUGUCAGGGGGGUCCCAUAAAUCACCCGACCGCGUUAGGGACGCAAAAUCCGGGAACAUAACACCGGUAUGACGGAAACUAGGGCGGCAAGAGUGGAACAAAACACCAGGCAUAAGGCCGAGCCUUCCACCCUUUACCAAGUAUAUAGAUGCAUUAAUAAUAUAAGAGAUAUUGUGAUAUCCCAACAUAAACCCUGUCCACCAUGGAGAAAUCUUCAACUUCACCUGCAACUAGCAAUGCUAUAAGAGGGGCUGAGCAAAGCGGGAACAUAGCCAAACAAUGGUUUGCUAGGAAUGGUGUCAAAGGUUAGAGGUUCAUGGCAAUAUGGGAUGGCUUGAUAAACAGGUAAUAGGUAGCGCAGCAUUGCGAUAGAACGAAGCAACUAGCAUAGCAAUGAUAGUAGUGAGAUCCAGGGUAGCGGUCAUCUUGCCUGAAAUCCCGCAAGGAAGAAGAACGAGUCCAUGAAGAAGAUGAACGGAUGAAGCCGAACCAAACGUAGACGAACGAAUCCUCACGAACGCAACGAAACAGGAACUAACAAGAAGAAGCACACAACAUAGGUAAACACCCCACACAAGAACAAGACAUGAUGCACAACAAGCAUGAUGCAUGACCAAGCUACAUGAAGCUACUCAUGGCAAGAGAUGAUGCAAACAAGAACAACACAUCAAGGCAAGUUUAAAUGAGGCCGGAAACAACGUAUAACAAUUCCGGUAAGUCCUCAUAUGCAAUUUUCGAAAUAGGUCCAGAACUGAAUAAACCUUAUGUUCAAGUAGUUAAACAGCAAGUUAAGAUGCACCACUAUGAUCUACACGAAAUUCUAGUCAAGUUACAUAUAAAGUUCAUUAGAUUCGGAGCUACGGCCUAGAAGAUAUGAGCAAAACAAGUUAAACAUGACAUUGAUGCAAAAUGCAUACAAACAUCAAGCAAACACCUCAAAACAAGGAUGCAACAUGAUAAUAUGAAGCUACAUGCAAAAUCAAGCAAGUUUCAUAUAGAGCACACUCAAAACGGAGCAACGGUUCAACACCCACACACUAUACAAGUCAUAGCAACAAUCUGUCCAAAACAGCAACUAGGCAUCUUACAAGCAUCAAAACAACAUGCUACAGCACCCCAACAUAAUAACAAAAGGCAUGGGCAUGAAGUACACGUAAGGCAUAACAAAACAUGAACACUGAGCUAUCUCCAGAAACAACUAGAACAUGCUCAAAAACACAUGGAGAUAUUGCAAAUAAUAACAGUUUCAGACUUUAGCAGAAAUAACAUCAGGUUGCAAUGUUUAGAGCUAUCAAACAACAUGUUACAGGAACUUAUCAUGGCAAACAAAGGCAUGGCAUGAUUCUACUCAAAGCAUAUAUCAAUAGUCCCUUGCUGACCAUAAGCCAAAAAGGACUAGAGGAUAUGAUGGCACCCAUGUAAACAUAGCAAGUUUUAUUACAGAUUUAAACAUGGCAGGAACAACAAUAAGUAGGCAUGUUCGUGAGCUCGAAACACUCACUACAGAGCAAUACAUGGCAUGGCAAGGCAACCAAUAGUAAGAAGGCAUGUUUAUGAAGCUAAGCAUGGGAAGAGCAAGGUCAUAGCAUACACGGAUCAACUACAACGACCUCGUGAAAAUUGAAUCUCAUGCAAACAAUCUGUCAGGAAACAUUUUCAAGCAACUUUGGAACAAGAAAUGAACAUGUUCCGGCAGGCUAUAAUUGCAACCAAGAGCACGAAUGGAUAGAGCAAGACAUGUAUAUCAAAACAUGUUUAUAGAGCAUCUCCAUAUUAUGCAUAGAUUGAUUAGUGGAAGCAUGUUAACAUGGCAUCAAAAUGUAACAGAAUCUGUCAGGAAAACAGCAACAGCAACUACCCUACUUUACAAGCUCAAAGCACUCAGCACACAACUCACAAAAAUACAAGGUCAACACCUCUGGAAAGAUGGCAUGGCAUAGUCCAACAUUCAUGUAGAGCUCAACCUCAUAGGAUGCACACAUAAAUCAUGGCAAAAGUGAUAAAACAGCAAGUUAUAACAGUUUCAGCAGAUUAACAUCCUGAAUCACUCUUCCAACAGCAUUUCGGGCAUCAAGAUGAGCUCAAAUGAAAAUGAUGCAAUGGAAUGAAAUGAUGUACUCGUCGAGGCGAACAAUUUGACAUAUUAUACGCAUGAAACGGAGCUACGGAUGCAGAGAUGUGAUGCUAUGAAAAUGCAAGAAAAUAACUGAAAUCUGGGACUUCGAGGAUUUCGGGGGUCAACCUGCGGGUUGCACGGUUUACGAGGCGGCGGCACGAGCUCGCCGGAGGGUUCGCCGGAGGAGGCCGAGGGCGGCGGAUCUGGCCGAUCCUCGCCGGAUCUGGCGCCGGCGAGGGUGGGGCGACCGGAGAAGGCAUGGGCGGCGGCGCGGGCUCGGGAGCUCCUCUCCCUGGAGCUCGGCGCGGAGGUCGGCGGGGCGGCCGCGGCAUACGCCGGCGCGGAAGGCGGCGCGGCCCGGCGGAGGGCGGCGCGGGGCUUCGGUCGCCGGAGCGAGGAGCGGGGGCGGCGCGCUCGGGAGCUGGCGGAGUGCGGCGAUGGGGAGAGGCGCGGGGGCGCCNNNNNNNNNNNNNNNNNNNNNNNNNNNNNNNNNNNNNNNNNNNNNNNNNNNNNNNNNNNNNNNNNNNNNNNNNNNNNNNNNNNNNNNNNNNNNNNNNNNNNNNNNNNNNNNNNNNNNNNNNNNNNNNNNNNNNNNNNNNNNNNNNNNNNNNNNNNNNNNNNNNNNNNNNNNNNNNNNNNNNNNNNNNNNNNNNNNNNNNNNNNNNNNNNNNNNNNNNNNNNNNNNNNNNNNNNNNNNNNNGGGUGGAAGCGGCGGCGCCACAUGGCGGCGCGGGAGUGGGUGCGGGCGGCGGCGGAGCUGACGUGGCAAGCCCUGAUUGGGCGGAGUGAGGUGUCCGGCGGACGUGUCCGGCCGGGGCGGACAUGUCCCGCGGCGCGGAGAGGAGCGGGGCUAGGGUUUGAUCUGCGCGAAAAUGGAAGGGGAGGGCCUUUAAAUAGGUAGAGGGAGCUAGGAGAGUCCAAAUGAGGUGCGGUUUUCGGCCACGCGAUCGUGAUCGAACGACCGAGAACAUGGAGGGGAGCUAGAUGGGUUUUGGGCCACUUUGGAAGGGGUGUUGGGCUGCAACAAAAGAGGCUUUCACGGUUACCCGGUUAACCGUUGGAGUACCAAACGACCUCCAAAUGGCACGAAACUUGACAGGCGGUCUACCGGUGCUAUACCAUGGCUGCUUGGCAAACCUCGAGCCAUUCUGAGAAAGUUUAAUACCCGCUCACAACAGGAGAGAAGAAGGGGACGCCGGAUGACAUAGGUGUGCCGGAUUGCAAAACGGACAACGGGGAAAAGGCUCGGAUGCAUGAGACGAACACGUAUGCAAAAUGAAAUGCACAUGAUGACAUGAUAUGAAAUGCAGAUGAUGACAUGGCAAACUGCAACACGCAAGCAAAUGACAUGGCAACGACGGUGAAUAACUGGCGAACACCUGGCGCAAUGAAUCCGGGGCGUUACAAUACUCCACCACUACGAGAGGAUCUCGUCCCGAGAUCUAGGAUGGCACCGGAGGGAAAAAACGGAAGAGGAAUAGAAGAGGUAAACUAAGUUGCUUCUUUGACGAACGAGUGAAACCAACAAACCUUGAGAGGUCGAACAAAAUGAAAGAAAGAAAACAACGAAGAUGAACAAAGUUGAAAGCACUCUGUUAGAAGAGGAACAUGGGAUACGACGAGAACCAAGAGGUUUAGUGACAAGAUAGAUAUUGAAACCACUCCGGUUAAAACUAGAUAGAGAAGGAGUAAGAAUGAUAUAAUUUGGGCAGCACUCCGACUGAAAGAAGAAGGAAAACUAGAUAGGAUGAGAUGAUAUUGAUGAGAUGAAAAGAUAAUGAAUGAGAACACCACACUGCGGUUAAAUGGAUAAGCAAGAAAAGAACAUGACCUCACAAUUCGACAUGAUGAGUGAAGAGAGCAAACGUAAUGCCUUCAGAAGAAAGAAUAGAAGGUAAAUCAUUGGAACAAAAGAAUGGAGAAGAAAAUGCCAACUUCUGCCACAAUUGAGCUUGGAAAUCAUCCUUGCAAAGGAGAAUCGAACGGAGAUGUUGGAAAAACAACAACGAGAAGCACAAGCUUGUUGUGGGCUUAUGGCAAACAUCUCAAGACUAUGAGGUGACAACCGGCCACUAAUGCAAACCAUUGAUUGCUUGAGAUCAACGAAGAGAUGCAAAACUGCUUUCGCCGAGAUGAUAGAGAGACAACUUGGAUCAUAGAUAAACACCACAAAUAGCAACAUUCCUUAGGAAAGGCUUUGGGUGAAAUCUUUACCAAGAUAACUCCAAAGAAGAGAUUGAUGGAUUUAAAAUACCUCACUUUUGACAAUAAUAUGAAUCAUGAAACAUGAAGGAAAUUGUCAAGAGUGACAUAACACCACCUCAAAAGAUAAGGUAGAAAGAAUUGCACUUUGGAAUGCAAGAAGAAGAAUACUUGAGCUCCUCAAAACAAAACAUGUGUUGAACACCAUGUUUAUUUUAGAGUAUAGCUUGGCAGAUCAUAACUUCAAGAGAAAUCUUGAAGAACAAUUGAAGAAUGAAAAGAAUCCUUGACGAACCAUCAUGUAGAACCUCCAUGAAGAACUCCGGUAAACAAAAGGAAUGAAAAGAAAGAGAAAUUGAAAAACACAAGGUGAAUCCUUGCAAUGAUUUAGAUGGAUCUCCGUGAUAAUUAGAGCUUGGAACUCCGGGAAAAAGAGAAGAUGAAACAAAUGAAACCGAGAAUUUUAAGGGCCUCCGGAAUAAAGAAUUAAUCACUUGGAUGAACAAGAACAAGAAUUAUGUUAUGCUUAUCCUUCACCAAUUAAAUUGAUGAGAAUCAACGGAUUUGGCAUACUACUUAUUCUCGUAGAAAGGAUUAAAAGAGAUAUAUCAAAACUUCAGAAGGUCUUCAACGAACCACCGGUAGGAUUGGAACAACAAAUGAAUAUUUGAUAUGGUAACGAAGGAAGUGAAAAUCUUGAAUGAACCACCGUAAGAAUUGAAAAAGAGAGUAGCAAAGGCACAAUUCACCGGAAGAAUUGGAGAACGAAUGAAGAUACUUGAGGGGAUUUAGAUACAUGAGAACGAAGAGAUCAUGAACUGAUUAGAGGGUAUUAGAAUGAUGCACUGGAAGAAUUCAAGAACGAGAGCUGAAAACUGAGAAUGAAGAAUUAUGACAUGAUGGCCUUCGGAGGAAAGAAAUGGAAACAACUCAAGAAAUCCUCCGAAUGGUAAGAAAAGAAUUCUCACAAUCAAAACAAUUAUGAGGAUAGCAUGAAGCUAGAACCAUGAAUAUUCAAGAGAAUGGACCAAGAUUUAAGAGGAACUCUUCUUCGGUCUUCAAAUGAUGAGAAUGACAAUGAGAAACACCACCAAGAAUUAUUGAGGCACACCGGAAGAAUCAAAAGCGAAGAGGUUGAGCCAACUAUGAAAAGAAUUUGAAAGAUCUUGGAGAAAAGCAUGUGACUGAUGAAAAUUCAUUCUUACGUCAAACUUGGAGAAGAAUUUAGGAUAGCUCUGGGAAAAUAGAAGAGUCAGGUAAGAUCCUGGAAAAAGACCUGUGGGUUAGGGCCCACUCAAAAGAACACCGUUGAAAAGAUUUAAAAGAGAUGUUGCACCGGUUGAAUUAAAUGACUUGAAUGGGAUACCAAUCUCGAAAGAGCUUGAAUGAAUGCAGAGUGGAAACACGAAUCUUCGAGAUAUCUUGAGCACUCCGGAAUAACAAAUAGCGAGAAGUAGAAUGAUAAUGAGGUGCACCGGAAUGAGAAGACAUUGAAACGAGGAAAGGGAUAUGAUGAAUAUCAAAAGCUUGAAUUGGAUCCACCAGAGAAGAAUACGAGAAUGAAGAAUGAUGAAUUUGAAGCUCGUGAGCAUCUUCAUGGGAAAUCACCGGAUAAGAAUAUUGAUUGAAAAGAGUGAAGUGACUUCACAUGAAUAAAUGGAUACUUGAUUAAGAAAUCUGUGUCCUUGAAGAAAAAGGGUGGGUGGGCGGGAAAACAAAGACAACCUGGGAUGGAUGAAACAAACACCGUUGAGAAAAACUUAGAAUUGAUCUUGCGGAUGGGGAGAAUGAUCGGAUCCACUUGAAGAGAAACACGCCGGUUGAAAAGGAUUGACAUGACAAUCUCGAUUGUCGAGAAGGAUUGGUAUUCACAUCGGAGUAUGAGAACACCAUUUAGGAAAGGUAUGGAAUCCACACUUGACAACGAAGCAACUCGAAUACCACAAUAAAACAAAACAAAGGAUUGGCUUGCAGAAUAAGCCGGAACAAACAUAUGAUAGAGAUUUCGUCCAAAGUUUUCGUGGUGGGGCCUACAUGGGCUCAAUCGUACAACACCAUCAUGUACAAGGCAGUGCACAUGACAUACGAAGCGUCCCCGAGUCGGCAUAGCCAAGGACUCUUUAAGACACAACGAUACCACUGUAAAACCAACCGUGAAUAGGCAGACCACUAGAUGUCGAACCCCAAUUUCAUAUCAUACAUCCGUCGGAAAGAUAUCCUAAGAGCUACUUGAAUUCCCACCUAUGAAACUCCCGAAAUUUUCCGGUUAUGCAAUCAGGUGUUGGGGAUACAGGGGAGCAAUAUAUAUCUCACACAAACUAACAAUCCCUACAUCCAGCUGUAUCCAUCCGUCAACACAUAACCAAGAAACCUUCGGAAAUCGUGUACCUCAACCUUCAAAAAGCAUCCGUUAUACGAGUCAUGGCAAUACUCCCGUACUCACCUCAGUACUGGGUUAGCGGGGUUAUCUCACCAACAACUGCAUAAAAGAGAUUUUCGAUGUCGGCGUACUAAACUCAGGUAUUCCAGAACUGCAACGAUAAAAUUAUGACGACAACACCUCAGAGCUCAACUGCCCGGGACACUGCCACAACCCCUAAAUGUCAGGAGGCACCAAGAACAAUGUUCUCGUCAUAAGAAUAUCGGAUCGAUUCCAAGAUACCCGCGUGAUCCUAAAAAUUUUUUUAGUGAAAUUUGAGAAGAGAAGAGUCAAAACUCUACGUCAGGAUACCUCACCAGAGCGAUGAAGGGACUGAGGAGUAAAAAGAAUUCCUAACUCUCCGAUAUAUAUAAUCCUAAAUGACUCAAAACAUUUUUCUAGACACAACUCGGCCGCUAAAAGCGAUCAAGCAGUGGGGCUCCUAAGGUCGGGGAAGGCUCUGAUUACCAACUUAUAACGCCCUCGAUGCGGCUAUAUCUUCCACGUGUCGAAGCACGACUUAGAGGCAUAACCGCAUUGAAAGCAAUGUCGCAAGUGAGGUAAUCUUCACACAACCCAAGUAAUACAUAAGGGAAAGAGAUACAUAGUUGGCUUACAAUCGCCACUUCACACAAUUACAUGAAUAAAGCAUUACAUCAUCCAGAUACAAUCAAGGUCCGACUACGGAACCAAAAUGAAAGAAGAACCCAAAAUGCGACAAAGGUCCCCGAUCGACCCCAACUGGGCUCCACUACUGAUCAACUAGAACGAAACAACACAAAGGGCAAGAUCUUCAUCGAGCUCCUCCUUGAGCUUGAAUGCGUCACCUGCUCGGUAACAUAGGCACCUGCAAACUGGUUUUUGGAAGUAACUGGUGAGCCACAAGGACUCAGCAAUCCCAUUACCAUGGGUAUCAAGACUAGCAAAGCUUAAUGGGAAAGGAAGGGGUAAAGUGGUGAGGUUGCAACAGCGACUAAGCAUGAUAUGGUGGCUAACCAACGCAAAUAAGAGCGAGAAGAGAACAAGCGGAACGGCCGUGAAGCUAGCAAUGAUCAAGAGGUGAUCCUGAACACCUACUUACGUCAAACAUAACACAGAAACCGUGUUCACUUCCCGGACUCCGCCGAGAAGAGACCAUCACGGCUACACACUCGGUUGAUGCGUUUUAAUUCGGAUCAAGUGUCAAGUUAUCUACAACCGGACAUUAACAAAUUCCCAUCUGCCACAUAACCGCGGGCACGGCUCUCGAAAGUUUAUACCCUGCAGGGGUGUCCCAACUUAGCCCAUGACAAGCUCUCGCGAUCAUCGAAGGAAUAGACCUUCACCCGAGACACUCCGAUCAGACUCGGUAUCCCGGUACAUCAAGACAUUUCGACAAUGGUAAAACAAGACCAGCAAAGCCGCCCGAUGCACCGACAAUCCCGAUAGGAGCUGCACAUAUCUCGUUCUCAGGGCAACACCGGAUAGGUCAGCCUACGAGUAAAACCAGCCCUCGAGUUGCCCCGAGGUGGCCCCGCAGUCUGCCCGGUUCGGACCAACACUUAGACAAGCACUGGCCCGGGGGGGGGGGCUAAAUAAAGAUGACCCUUGGGUUAAUUACUCCCAAGGGAAAAGUAGGUGGUGGUGAGGCAAAUGGUAAAAGGCAAUGUUGGGCCUUGCUGGACAAGUUUUAUUCAAAGCGAACUGUCGGGGGGGUCCCAUAAAUCACCCGACCGCGUUAGGGACGCAAAAUCCGGGAACAUAACACCGGUAUGACGGAAACUAGGGCGGCAAGAGUGGAACAAAACACCAGGCAUAAGGCCGAGCCUUCCACCCUUUACCAAGUAUAUAGAUGCAUUAAUAAUAUAAGAGAUAUUGUGAUAUCCCAACAUAAACCCUGUCCACCAUGGAGAAAUCUUCAACUUCACCUGCAACUAGCAACGCUAUAAGAGGGGCUGAGCAAAGCGGGAACAUAGCCAAACAAUGGUUUGCUAGGAAUGGUGUCAAAGGUUAGAGGUUCAUGGCAAUAUGGGAUGGCUUGAUAAACAGGUAAUAGGUAGCGCAGCAUAGCGAUAGAACGAAGCAACUAGCAUAGCAAUGAUAGUAGUGAGAUCCAGGGUAGCGGUCAUCUUGCCUGAAAUCCUGCAAGGAAGAAGAACGAGUCCAUGAAGAAGAUGAACGGAUGAAGCCGAACCAAACGUAGACGAACGAAUCCUCACGAACGCAACGAAACAGGAACUAACAAGAAGAAGCACACAACAUAGGUAAACACCCCACACAAGAACAAGACAUGAUGCACAACAAGCAUGAUGCAUGACCAAGCUACAUGAAGCUACUCAUGGCAAGAGAUCAUGCAAACAAGAACAACACAUCAAGGCAAGUUUAAAUGAGGCCGGAAACAACGUAUAACAAUUCCGGUAAGUCCUCAUAUGCAAUUUUCGAAAUAGGUCCAGAACUGAAUAAAACUUAUGUUCAAGUAGUUAAACAGCAAGUUAAGAUGCACCACGAUGAUCUACACGAAAUUCUAGUCAAGUUACAUAUAAAGUUCAUUAGAUUCGGAGCUACGGCCUAGAAGAUAUGAGCAAAACAAGUUAAACAUGACAUUGAUGCAAAAUGCAUACAAACAUCAAGCAAACACCUCAAAACAAGGAUGCAACAUGAUAAUAUGAAGCUACAUGCAAAAUCAAGCAAGUUUCAUAUAGAGCACACUCAAAACGGAGCAACGGUUCAACACCCACACACUAUACAAGUCAUAGCAACAAUCUGUCCAAAACAGCAACUAGGCAUCUUACAAGCAUCAAAACAACAUGCUACAACACCCCAACAUAAUAACAAAAGGCAUGGGCAUGAAGUAAACGUAAGGCAUAAAAAACAUGAACACUGAGCUAUCUCCAGAAACAACUAGAACAUGCUCAAAAACACAUGGAGAUAUUGCAAAUAAUAACAGUUUCAGACUUUAGCAGAAAUAACAUCAGGUUGCAAUGUUUAGAGCUAUCAAACAACAUGUUACAGGAACUUAUCAUGGCAAACAAAGGCAUGGCAUGAUUCUACUCAAAGCAUAUAUCAAUAGUCCCUUACUGACCAUAAGCCAAAAAGGACUAGAGGAUAUGAUCGCACCCAUGUAAACAUAGCAAGUUUUAUUACAGAUUUAAACAUGGCAGGAACAACAAUAAGUAGGCAUGUUCGUGAGCUCGAAACACUCACUACAGAGCAAUACAUGGCAUGGCAAGGCAACCAAUAGUAAUAAGGCAUGUUUAUGAAGCUAAGCAUGGCAAGAGCAAGGUCAUAGCAUACACGGAUCAACUACAACGACCUCGUGAAAAUUGAAUCUCAUGCAAACAAUCUGUCAGGAAACAUUUUCUAGCAAAUUUGAAACAAGAAAUGAACAUGUUCCCGCAGGCUAUAAUUGCAACCAAGAGCAUGAAUGGAUAGAGCAAGACAUGUAUAUCAAAACAUGUUUAUAGAGCAUCUCCAGAUUAUGCAUAGAUUGAUUAGUGGAAGCAUGUUAACAUGGCAUCAAAAUGUAACAGAAUCUGUCAGGAAAACAGCAACAGCAACUACCCUACUUUACAAGCUCAAAGCACUCAGCACACAACUCACAAAAAUACAAGGUCAACACCUAUGGAAAGAUGGCAUGGCAUAGUCCAACAUUCAUGUAGAGCUCAACCUCAUAGGAUGCACACAUAAAUCAUGGCAAAAAUGAUAAAACAGCAAUUUAUAACAGUUUCAGCAGAUUAACAUCCUGAAGCACUCUUCCAACAGCAUUUCGGGCAUCACGAUGAGCUCAAAUGAAAAUGAUGCAAUGGAACGAAAUGAUGUACUCGUCGAGACGAACAAUUUGACAUAUUAUACGCACGAAACGGAGCUACGGAUACAGAGAUG
rnacentral:lncRNA from 1 species